AUCCACAUCUCCAUAUCCGGCAUCGUAGCAACCGCAUGCACACCACGUUCCUCCCACACGCCGCCCACGCCUGCUACUUCUUGAGCGCACCGCCUCGUUCUUCUGUUCACGACCCAACCGGCCAGCUCCUCUCCUCGAUGCUCCUUUGUGAACCCAGGAAGAAAAAGAUGCAGCGCGCGGGGAGCGAAGCCGAUGCGUCCCUUUGACAGGCGGUGUCGAGGAGAACCUCGAUCCGGCCGUGGAGGCGAUCAGAUCUUGAUGAGCCGGUAUCCGAGCGAGGGCCGGAUCUUGCCAAUUCUUCUUUGGAUUUCUUGGAAAAUCUUAAUAAAUCUGAAGGUUUAUUUGUUCAAUGUUUCUCUGCCGUUUUGGAGAUUAAUCAGGUUAUUGGCUUGGCUGGAAUCGGAUCCCAGAUCUCCAGCCGCUCAAGGACUAUCUCGCUGGAAGCGCGCCGGCGUCAACCGCCUGGUGGAGACGACUGACUGCCAAGGCUCGCCGUCCAUCAGGAAGCCCACCACCCGCAGUCAUCUCGCGCCUUUACCGGGAGUCCACCGCAAGACCAGCAGUUCACCGUGCGCCGGCACUGGGAGUCUACCUCACGCCUCUCCCAUAGCACGAUGGGUCAUGUAGCUCCGCGUGGAGAUGGAAGGCUAUGUCCCAGAAUAGGGAUAGCAUAUCGACACUACGUGUAUGAGAAGAGACUUGAGAAGCAAACAACGCUGUUGUCAUGGUAUAUUGAUAUACAUCCUGCUCUAUGACGCGUCUCAGUUUUGGGCAGUUAUAUAAAUACUAGACACACAUGUUUGCUUCUUAAGGCUCCACGGUCCACAUAUGUCUGGUUUUGAAGUGCCAACAUAACAUUCUUUGGAAUAUAGAAUCAGAGCAUGGGAUAUUUGAGACAUCUAGCAGGUGAUGCCCGAUCGACAUGCUAUAUUUUCAAUCGCCUCAUGGAUAUUUCCUGUGUGAAAACAGUCAUUUGGGCAGGCCAACCAUGGCUGCAGCUGAGCGGCAAGGUACGAGACAAGCUGCUGGACUUGGCGGCUCUGUCGCGGCUGAAGAAGAUGACAUUGAGAGUGAGCACUGGUUUCAGUGGCCAUAUAUUUCAUCUGCAAUCUAAUUCAAUAGUCAGUACUCUAUUCAUGUAAUUGCAAAGCAAAUUCAGCUGAAGUUAAAAUAGUUAUGUUUCCAGGUCUUGCACUCAUGGUUAAAAUGUGGCUUCAUCCCCCCACCCUUUUAGUUGAGCUGAAUUCAGUUUUUGAGGUAGUAUCACUUUGCUAAGAAAAUAGCUACUAGGUGUAAAUAGUAGUACUAUAUGAUCAUUUACAUGAUUAAACUGUAGGUACAUAUUCAAGCAGUUAUUUACAAGUCAAAUAUCAGUUCUAGAUUUCAUGUUUAUUCAACGGAGUCUUUUCUUUCUCCAUGUUGCAAAGGAGGGGCUUAUGUUGUCUGCUUCUUUAUUUUUGUAUACACUGUCUUCCUUAACAUUCCAAAUUAAAUAAUUUUAGACGCGACGAAAUGCAAGAGAUGCUCUUCAACUUGCUACUACAUCCCAGGAUAUUUCGAAUACAAAAACAUAGCAUGGGAUAUUGGAGACUGGUGGAAUACAAAGAAGAAAUUAUUUUCAUGACCUAACUGGUGAUUGUUUCUUUCCCGUGCCGUUGUGUAUGAGAAGAGACUUGAGAAGAAAACAACGAUGUUGUCAUGGUAUAUUGAUAUACAUCCUGCUCUAGCCACACAUGUUUGCUUCUUAAGGCUCCACGGUCCACAUAUGUCCAUUUAUGAAUUAUAGCAACAUAACAUUCUUUGGAAUAUAGAAAUAGAGCAUGGGAUAUUGGAGACUUCUAGCAGGCAAACGGUGGAUACAGCUGAGCGGCAAGGUACCAGACAAGCCGCUGGACAUGGUGGCCCUGUCGUGGCUGAUGAAGAUGACAUUGAGAAUCAGCACUGGUUUCAGUUAUAUUUCAUCUUCGAUCUAAUUCAAUAGUCGGUAGUCUAUUCAUGUAAUGGAAAAUACCAUUCAGAUCAAGUAAAAAUAGUUAUGUUCCCAAGUCUUGCAUUUAUGGUAAAAGGGUGGCUUCAUCCCCCCACCCCCACACACGCAGAACACACUUUAUUUCUCUGUUUGAGAAGUGAUUAUUUCCAAAAAGGAAGACCUGAAUGAUUGCAAUA